rnacentral:misc_RNA from 1 species
GAUGAAGAACGCAGUGAAAUGCGAUACUUGGUGUGAAUUGCAGAAUCCCGUGAACCAUCGAGUCUUUGAACGCAAGUUGCGCCCGAAGCCGUCAGGCCGAGGGCACGCCUGCCUGGGCGUCACACGCCGUUGCCCCCCCCCAGCGCCUCCCUCGGGAGCGUCGGGGGGAGCGGACGAUGGCCUCCCGUGCGACACCCCGUGCGGUUGGCACAAAUGCCGGGUCCUCGGCGACGAACGCCACGACAAUCGGUGGUUGUCAAACCUCGGUGGCCCGUUGUGCGCCUUCGUCGCGCCACGAGCGGCCCGCGAUAGCGAACGGCUCCGUUCCGGCGAAGCUUUCAACGCGACCCCAGGUCAGGCGGGGUUACCCGCUGAAUUUAAGCAUAUCAAUAAGCGGAGGA